rnacentral:rRNA from 1 species
UACGGGGGGGGCAAGCGUUGUUCGGAAUUACUGGGCGUAAAGGGCGCGUAGGCGGCCUGCUAAGUCGGACGUGAAAUCCCUCGGCUCAACCGAGGAACUGCGUCCGAUACUGGUGGGCUUGAAUCCGGGAGAGGGAUGUGGAAUUCCAGGUGUAGCGGUGAAAUGCGUAGAUAUCUGGAGGAACACCGGUGGCGAAGGCGGCAUCCUGGACCGGUAUUGACGCUGAGGCGCGAAAGCUAGGGGAGCGAACGGG